CUGCCUACCCCGGCCAAACCCUAACGACGCUAUGCCAAUUGUGCGCCGCCUUAUGGGACUCCCAAUCACGGCUGAUUGUGAUACAGCCUGGAAUCGAACCAGGGUCUGUAGUGACGCCUCUAGCACUGAGAUGCAGUGCCUUAGACCGCUGCACCAGUUAGUGGAGGUCUUGGGGACCAGGGCCCUGAAGGACCCAAAGUAAGGAUUAUGCUAAACUUCCUAUACCUCCAGAAAUGUUCUAGAUAAAGAUACAGCUAAAAUGUACAGAGAAAGUUGGGGAAAGGUGAAUGAUGCCCCUCUUUCCCAGGGUGACCUAGUGGAGUGACGGAACCUCCUGGGGAUACUGGCAUCAGGUUUCCUACACCUAAGGCCAGUUGAAAUCUGUUGUUAGAGAACACCUAGGGUGAUAAAGGAAACCAGGGAAGACCUGGACCCACCAGUCCCAUGGGUAUGAGUGAACCAGGACUGCCGGGAGACCAUGGUCCACCUGGGUCUUUCAGCCCUCGUCGGCCACCAGGGCUGGGAAUAGUCGGCCCGAAGGGUGACCAGGGCUUCCCAGGGCAGCACGGACCACAGGGAGAGAGAGGAGUUGUGGAGCCAGGGCCGAAGGGUGAACCAGGACAUGACGGAUCCUCUGGGAUACCUGGUAUACUUGGGGAAGAUGGAGCGGUCCAACCUAAGGUAAGCAAGGUGUUGAAGUUCAUUUAGAGGUCAAAGUUCAUUGGGCCCCAUUGUACAUCUACUACACAGUAUAAAGAGCACAGACAUUUGAAAUAGUUAUUACAUCACUUUUUAACUUGUUUAUUGUCUUCAUUUUCUUUGUCUUGAAACAUGGUGAGAUUGGUUUGCCAGGACUACGAGGGAUAGAGGGUGCGCCUGGGAAAGGAAUUCCUGGAGAAAAGUUUUGUAAUGAUGGGUCUACCAGGUCCUCCUGGCAGGGGUCUACCUGGGUCAAAGUGGUGGGGUGCAGACAGCCGUUGGACCCUGGGCCAUGUCGUCAGUAUGUGGUCGGGUGGUACUACGACCCGGAAGUCAACGCCUGUGCCCAGUUCUGGUACGGAGGUUGCCAGGGCAACGGAAAUCAGUUUGAGUCGGAAGCUGUGUGCAGGAGCACCUGCGACUGCACGUAACAGACAGUGGUGCUUUGUUUAAAGAGAGAAGGGCCGUGUGCAAAGCCUGCACCUUUCCCAGUGUUGAUGUCAGAGGGAUGCACUGAAGACAUGGGCUCCUAUCUAUCUAUGGCUGCAUCCCAAUUCUCCCAAGGAUGUGGAGUAUGUAAGUGCAUACUUUGGGAUAAGGGUGGAGAAUCGGGACACAUACUCUAUAUCAGUUACAGUUUGACCAAAGCUCAGGCGAACGACAGCACUGCUACACUGAUGCUCCAGAGAGGACCUGUAUACUCUAUUUCUCUAUUGUGUUCUUUAUGUAGUCUGUGAACCACCCCCUGUACUGUACAAAUAUUCAACCAGUUCAUAUUUUUUAUAUUUUCACACCCUUGUUUUUA